GCGCCCGUAGCUUCAAUCGGUAAAGCGGUGGAACGGUGAUCCACAGUCCCGGGGUCAAGUCCCGGCGGUUAUU